rnacentral:rRNA from 1 species
UACGAAGGGGGCUAGCGUUGUUCGGAAUUACUGGGCGUAAAGCGCAUGUAGGCGGAUAUUUAAGUCAGGGGUGAAAUCCCGCAGCUCAACUGCGGAACUGCCUUUGAUACUGGGUAUCUCGAGUAUGGAAGAGGUGAGUGGAAUUCCGAGUGUAGAGGUGAAAUUCGUAGAUAUUCGGAGGAACACCAGUGGCGAAGGCGGCUCACUGGUCCAUUACUGACGCUGAGGUGCGAAAGCGUGGGGAGCAAACAGG